GGCUGUGAAGGGCAGGGGCAGCUGGGCGGCCUGACUAUUUGGGGCUCUGCAGGCCGGGUUCCCUCCCUUCGCUGUUCUGUGCGGGGGCCCAGAGUCCAGCCCUGGGACUCAUGCCCGACCAGGACUCACGACCCAUCCCGGAGCGGAUCUACGACCUCAGAAUCGACUCCAAAGACAGGCUUCGGCAUCUUGCUCCCCACCCUUGAGAGCAGAAAGCACCAAAAUAGCAGCAUGAAUCACUCGGAAACUGUCAUGUAAUGCACGGGCCAGGACACCUUCUGCGGCACAGCUUCUGCUUGUGUUCCAGGAAUCUGGGGAAGGGGACACUGGCGGACUGCAUCACCACCUCCCCGUCCCACUCGAGAGAGCUCUGAAUCUACAAAGAAAUUUGAAGAAGCCCAAGUCGGUAAAAAAUUAUAAGAGCUGACAUUUUUUAACAUUCAGGAGUGACUCUACCGUGACCUUGGAUAAACUUAAGCUUUAGGGUCUUC